GGGGAUUACAGGUGUAAGCCACCGCACCUGGCGAUUCUUUUUAAAUAUUUUAUUUUUUACAGCUUUAUAGAGGUAUGAUUGAUAUAUAAUAAACAGCACAUACUAAACUAUACGAUUUGAUGUCUGACAUAUGUGAAAUCCAUGAAACUAUCACCACAAUUAGUAUUAUAAAAUAUCCAUCAUUCAAAAAUUUUCUUUGUGCUCCUUUGCAAUUUAUCCCUCGCUACCUCCCAUCCUGCCCCAAAGCAACCACUGAUCUGUUGCCUUUUGUUACUCCGGAUUAGUUUGUAGGUGGGCUUCAUUUAAUCAGUUGAAGUCCUGAUAUUAAAAAAAGGCCCUCGUUUUCCAUUUUCAGGAAGAAUUUAUGUAAGAUUGGUAAUAUUUCAUCUUUAAAUGUUUGGUAGAAUUCACCAAUGAAGUCACCUGGGCCUGGAGUUUUCUUUUGAGACCACACAUUUAACUUCUUUAUUAGAUAUAGAGCUAUUCACAUUGUCUAUUCCAUUUCAAUGAGCUUUGAUAAUUUGUUUCUUUCAAGGAAUCUGUCCAUUGUUGUCAAAUUUAUUGGCAUAAACUUGUUUAUAAUUUUCUUAUUUUCCUGCAAAUGUCUACAUGAUCUGGAGUGAUGUGUUCUCUCUCAUUCCCAAUAUCAGUCUGGCUAGAGGUUUAUGAAUUUUGCUAUUUUUCUCAAAUAACCAGUUUUGGGUUUUAUUGAAUCACUGUUUGCCUGUUUAUUAUUUUUAAUGUUAUCUUUAAAUUUUCCUUUUCCCUGAUUACUUUGAGUUUUAUUUUAUCUCCUUUCUCUAGUUUCCUAUGUACAACUAUAGAUCAUUGAUUUGAGACCUUGUUUACAAUGUAGACAUUUAGUGCUAUACAUUACACUCUAAGCAUUGCUUUAGCUGUAUAUCACAGAUUUUUAAUGGGAUGUGUUCCCCCUUUCCUUUAGAUCAAAAUGCUUUGUAAAGAUCUUUCAGUUAUUAAAGGCAUAAUAAUGUUUUAUAUUAUAAACAACUUAAUGGCAGUAAACCCAACUGAAAUGAAAUGGAUAAAUUUCCUGAAAGACACCAACUACCACAACUUGCUCAACAAGAAUAGGAAACUGAAAUAGUCAGUGGUCAAGCGAAAAAAAAUUUGAAUUUUUUUUUUUUUUUUUUUUUUUGAGACAGUCUUGCUCUGUUGCCCAGGCUGGAGUGCAGUGGCGCAAUCUUGGCUCACUGCAAGCUCCACCUCCUGGAUUCACGCCAUGCUCCUGCCUCAGCCUCCCGAGUAGCUGGGACUACAGGCACCUGCCACCACACCUGGCUAAUUUUUUUUUAGUAGAAACAAGGUUUCACCACAUUAGCCAGGAUGAUCUCAAUCUCUUGACCUCGUGAUCCGCCCACCUCAGCCUCCCAAAGUGCUGGGAUUACAGGCGUAAGCCACCGCGCCCAGCCAAAAAAUUGGAUUUGUAGCUAAUAUCUUUCCCAGGAAGAAUACUCCAGGCCCAGAUGGCUUCACUAGUGAAUCCUAUUAAAUGUUUAAGGAAGCAAUAAGGCCAAUUUUACAGAAAAUGUCCCUAAAAAUGAAAUAGGAGGAAAUAUUUUCCAACUCAUUCUAUGAGGCUAGCAUUACUUAUACCAAAACUAGACAAAAGAUAUUACAAGAAAAAAAAACUGCAGAUCAACUUUCUUCAUUAACACAGGUGCAACCAAAUGAGCUAACCUCAGUAAUGAAAAAAAGUUCAUUCAAUAUUUAACAGUUAAUGCCGUUUUCUAUAUUAACAGACACAAAAAGAAACAAGAAAAACCACAUGAUCAUCUCAAUAGAUGUAUACCAAGUAUUUGACAAAAUUCAAUAUCUAUUUAUUAUAAAAAUCUCUCAACAACAAAGAAUAGAAGGGAAUUUUCAACCUGAUAUAGCAUCUAAGAUAAUUCACAGUUAACAUCACAGUUAAAAUACAUUUUACAUCAUAACAUUUACAUCAUACAUGUAAAUGACCUAAUGCCUUUUUUCCUAAGAUUAGGACUAAAGCACAAAUAUCUGCUUUAUCUACCUUUAUUCAACGAAGCAUGGAAAUGAUCAAUGUAUGAUUCACAAUAUUUAUGGGUUACUGCUCAGUGAGGGAAGAGUGCUGCCAUCACUAUGUGGUAUAUAAAAGGCUCUGAAGAAUAGUUUUACUAUCUCUUGCUCUUAAUGUUCUGUACACAGGUGUUCAUUUGUUGCCCAUUAACAUGUGCAUGUUCAUCUGCAUUAAAUCUUUUUAUGUAUAUUUUUCUAAAUUAAAAAAUUGCAGAUUCCAAGGACCAAAAACUAGACACUUCUAUUCAAUAUCUUAGUCUGGCACCAAGAAAUCUACAUUUUUAUCAAGUUCCUACAGUAAUUUUAAUAAUAGUAGUCUAAGGGUCACAUUUUGAGUAUCCGUAUUAUUUCCAUAGUUUGAAUAUUUUACUCUUAUAACUUAGCACUUCAGAAAGAGCUACAAUGUGACUAAAGGAGGCAGUUUAUAAUAAAUAAACAUACAACCAUUCUAAUUCCAGAAAUUAUCACUUUACUAUACAAAAAAACCUAAAC
rnacentral:lncRNA from 1 species